rnacentral:lncRNA from 1 species
CCAGUUUUUGCACAUUCUUGAAGCCCAAUUUUGACAAGCCCAUCAAGACAAAAAAACCCUAGACUAUCUCUUCUUCUUCUUUGACCUAAGAAAACCUAAUCCUAGCCGCAAAAAAAACCAAGCUAAACCCUACACACUACAAAAACCCUAGAAAAAAGGAAAAACCUAUCAGCCAUUCUUGCUCCUUCAACAAAGAGACGUUGAAAAACCCUACAAUACCUAUAUAGCUGCCACCCCAUCUCCAACCCCAAAAAUUCACCGGAAAACGACCACAGCUGCUCUUCGCUGUCCUCCUCCAACGUCGCUGGUUUUCCUCCAUCGCUAGCCAGUCCACGAUCAGCAUCCAGUUUUGUCGACCACCGUCGCCCGUCGCUGCUCCACCGAACCAGCCCAGCUUCCUCUCCAGUCGACGCCUCUCCCUCCUCACGUCCAAGCCAUAACCAUGGUCGAACCUCCAGUCACUCGUCAAGCAACCAGAACAAACCAGCGACAUCCUUCAACUGGAACACCCAUUACCUAUUUCGUCUCCAGUCUGCUUCUGCCAUGGCAUUCGAUUCAUUUAUUCCUUCUCUGAUUUUGUUACAAGUUCACCCGUAUAAUCAAAGCAACAGCAUGAGGGAAAUCGAAAUGGAGUGACUAAUGUAUUUGGGUUCAACUCGAAGUCUCUCGGCUCCGAUUUGAGUUUCCGUCCGCGGUUCUGGUGUUUUUGUUUCAAAGUUGCCGUGCAAGAAACUUCAGGUUCAUUAAGAUUGAUUUCUCAUUUCCUUUUACUUUGUGUUUGAUUAACAUCAUGCUUUUACUAUUUUGUUAAUUCAUCACUGCUCUGUUUAUUUUUUCUCUGAAUGUCACUUUGUUGUUUUUGUUUGUGUUUAAUCUGAUUGGAUGAAUUUUGAUAAUUAAAGUGAGC